GUGAAUCAUCGAAUCUUUGAACGCAAAUUGCACUUUCUGGUAUUCCGGAUAGUAUGCCUGUUUGAGGGUCAGUUAAAUAAAAAUUGGUGUUGUUGGUGCUUUUCGUGGUGACGGGUCGGGAUUGAGUUGUCUUACCUUUGGUUAUGUGAUUUAAAUUUUUGCAUGAUUUUCGAAAGUAUUUAAUUUUUUUACGUACGUUUGAGAUAUCGAAUACUUUAUUAGUUUCGGUCAUCCUUAUGGUUCGUACCUAUAAUUUU
rnacentral:misc_RNA from 1 species